rnacentral:rRNA from 1 species
UACGCAGGGGGCAAGCGUUGUCCGGAAUCAUUGGGCGUAAAGAGCGUGUAGGCGGCUCGGUAAGUCCGCUCUGAAAGCCCGGGGCUCAACCCCGGGAGGCGGGCGGAUACUGUCGGGCUCGAGUCCGGAAGAGGAGUGUGGAAUUCCUGGUGUAGCGGUGAAAUGCGCAGAUAUCAGGAGGAACACCAAUGGCGAAGGCAGCACUCUGGGACGUGACUGACGCUGAGGAGCGAAAGCGUGGGGAGCGAACAGG